ensembl:lncRNA
AAAACGACCAUUCAUCGUGUAGCGGGGACCCUUGGGAUUGCAAACAGAGGAAGAUCUUCAAAGAUGCAUGGUCGAGAGUGCUUGCAGAGGAUGAGAGAGACAUUUGGACAGUAGUUAUUGUUGACCUGAUGGCCUGCAAAAUGGAAAAACAGUGUGGUUCGUCAAGCCCCCCUACUUCCGGAGUGAGGUGUUCACUGCUCUUUGUCAAGAUCUAAAGUAACUUGGAGAGGGACCAGAGCUACUUGGCGAGCCACACCACACGGGACAUGUCUGUGGAAUUUUUGUCGAGGCAACCUAUAUCCCAUGGACGCCUU